rnacentral:ncRNA from 2 species
UACGUAGGCAGCAAGCGUUGUUCGGAAUUACUGGGCGUAAAGAGUGUGUAGGUGGUGUCGUAAGUUUGGUGUGAAAUCUCCCGGCUUAACUGGGAGGGUGCGCCGAAGACUGCGAUGCUUGAGUAUGGGAGAGGAAAGCGGAAUUCCUGGUGUAGCGGUGAAAUGCGUAGAUAUCAGGAGGAACACCUGCGGUGUAGACGGCUUUCUGGACCAUUACUGACACUGAGACACGAAAGCGUGGGUAGCAAACAGG